GUACUUUGGUCAAUGGGGGGAACCCUGAUCCGAGCAUGCCGCGUGGGUGAAGAAGGUCUUUGGGUUGUAAAGAACGUUAAGCGAGGAGGAGGCUACUCUCGUUAAUACUCAGAGGUGGUGGCGGGUACUUGACGAAUAAGCACCGGCUAACUAUGUUUCAGCCGCCGCGGUAAUACAGAGGGUUCAAGCGUUAAUCGGAUUUACUGGGCGUAAAGCGCGCGUAGGUGGCCAAUUAAGUCAAAUGUGAAAUCCCCGAGCUUAACUUGGUAAUUGCAUUCGAUACCGGUUGGCUAGAGUAUGGGAGAGGAUGGUAGAAUUCCAGGUGUAGCGGUGAAAUGCGUAGAGAUCUGGAGGAAUACCGAUGGCGAAGGCAGCCAUCUGGCCUAAUACUGACACUGAGGUGCGAAAGCAUGGGGAGCAAAC
rnacentral:rRNA from 1 species